CUAGGCGACGAUCCCUAGCUGGUCUGAGAGGAUGACCAGCCACACUGGAACUGAGACACGGUCCAGACUCCUACGGGAGGCAGCAGUGGGGAAUAUUGCACAAUGGGCGCAAGCCUGAUGCAGCCAUGCCGCGUGUAUGAAGAAGGCCUUCGGGUUGUAAAGUACUUUCAGCGGGGAGGAAGGGAGUAAAGUUAAUACCUUUGCUCAUUGACGUUACCCGCAGAAGAAGCACCGGCUAACUCCGUGCCAGCAGCCGCGGUAAUACGGAGGGUGCAAGCGUUAAUCGGAAUUACUGGGCGUAAAGCGCACGCAGGCGGUUUGUUAAGUCAGAUGUGAAAUCCCCGGGCUCAACCUGGGAACUGCAUCUGAUACUGGCAAGCUUGAGUCUCGUAGAGGGGGGUAGAAUUCCAGGUGUAGCGGUGAAAUGCGUAGAGAUCUGG
rnacentral:rRNA from 1 species